ACCGCCCCACACACUGUGAGCCCACAUCAGACCUUGCGAAGGUCACUGGGCCUUCUGGAGCCUCGCCAGGCCUCAGAGCAGCUCCGAAAUGCUCAGGGAGGAAGGGGACUAUUUCUUCUGAAGACAUUGCGGGUGCAACUGUGACCCCGUUGGUAAUCGGCUCCACCUCCAGCAUUUUCCUGGAGCUGACGCUCCAGAGGAGGCUCAGUCCCACUCAUCCCGCACGUCUCAGAUCCCCAUUCAAUUUCUAUCCUGCAUGGGAGUUAAAAAAGAAAGACGCUGAUUGGGCCUAGGAAAAUAGAGCUAAGGAUGAUGCUUCCACCCCAGCCCAGCACCACCUGGGCAGGAGAAGGAGCUGCUCCAGGCUAAGCGCACCCACGAGCCAGGUGCCCUACACAUGGGCACACCAGUGUGUGUGAAAAUCCUGGCUGCUGUGGCAAAGCACCACACACUGGGAGGAGACUGGGACCAAAAGUGUGAACAGACAAUUCCAAGGAGAAGAGGAGGAGGAGGAGGAAGAAGGCGAGGAAGAAGGACG